UUUCGAAUCAUUCACAAUGGGCGAAAGCCUGAUGGUGCGACGCCGCGUGAGGGAUGAAGGUCUUCGGAUUGUAAACCUCUGUCACUGGGGAAGAAACGCUGAGUUCUAAUACAGCUCAGCCUGACUUAACCCGGAGAGGAAGCAGUGGCUAACUCUGUGCCAGCAGCCGCGGUAAUACAGAGACUGCAAGCGUUAUUCGGAUUCACUGGGCGUAAAGGGUGCGCAGGCGGCCAAGUGUGUCAGGUGUGAAAUCCCGGGGCUUAACUCCGGAACUGCGCCUGAAACUACUUGGCUAGAGCAUUGGAGAGGGAAGUGGAAUUCACGGUGUAGCAGUGAAAUGCGUAGAUAUCGUGAGGAACACCAGAGGCGAAGGCGACUUCCUGGACAAUUGCUGACGCUC
rnacentral:rRNA from 1 species